GCGUCAGUGGCUCAGCGGUAGAGCACCGAGCGUAAUGACCUCGGGGAUCGGGGGUUCGAAUCCCUCCUGACGCA
rnacentral:tRNA from 1 species